ACCUGGGUGGCUCGGUCAGUUGAGUGUCUGACUUCGGCUCAGGUUAUGAUCUCACGGUUCGUGGGUUCAAGCCCCACAUCAGGCU
rnacentral:tRNA from 1 species